AACGAACGCCGGCGGCAGGCCUCAAACAUGCAAGUCUAGGGGGUGCAGCAAUGCAUCACCGGCGGACGGGUGCGUAACACGUGGGAAUAUACCUUUUGGUUCGGAACAACGCAGGGAAACUUGCGCUAAUACCGAAUGUGCCCUUACGGGGAAAGAUUUAUCGCCAAAGGAUUAGCCCGCGUCCGAUUAGCUAGUUGGUG
rnacentral:rRNA from 1 species